UACGUAGGGUGCGAGCGUUGUCCGGAAUUAUUGGGCGUAAAGAGCGUGUAGGCGGCCCGAUAAGUCCGCUGUGAAAGUCCAGGGCUCAACCUCGGACUUGCGGUGGGUACGGGCAGACUAGAGUGUGGUAGGGGAGACUGGAAUUCCUGGUGUAGCGGUGAAAUGCGCAGAUAUCAGGAGGAACACCGGUGGCGAAGGCGGGUCUCUGGGCCGUAACUGACGCUGAGGAGCGAAAGCAUGGGGAGCGAACAGG
rnacentral:rRNA from 1 species